AACGCUGGCUUCGUGCCUAAUAGAAGAAAGUCGAACGGAGAUAGCAAUAUCUUAGUGGCGUUCGGUUGCCCAACACGUAGCUGACCUACCCCUCGGCGGGGGACAACUGCUGGAAACGGCAGCUAAUACCGCAUACAUUUGAGCUUUUUAGAAAAGCUUAAAGAAACUUACGGGGUCGAGGGAGGGGGCUGCGGCCCAUCAGGUAGUUGGUGAGGUAACGGCUCACCAAGCCGACGACGGGUAGGGGGCCUGAGAGGGUGGUCCCCCACACUGGGACUGACAACGGCCCAGACUCCUACGGGAGGCAGCAGUGGG
rnacentral:rRNA from 1 species